AAUUGGGAAAAAUUAUUAAUUAAAAACAUAGAUACCACAUUGGAGAAAAUAAAAGCCCUAAAAGAAUAGAAACUAGUUCGGUAUCUAACAAAGAGUACCUUGGUCGCGGUAAUGAUGGAAAACCUGAAGAGUUCCCACGACUGGGAGAGAGAGAGGGGAGAGCAUGGGACGGUGAGAGAUUGGAAGGAAGAAUUGGUAUGUAGGGAUAGAUUCCGCAGGAGAUAGAGACUCAGAAGAACGUGCAAGGUGUGAAUGAGAGGAGAGUAGGUGGAUUUAGGGUUGACGUUAUUCUUCUCUUAAUUUUGGUAUGGGUAAAAUUGGGCUAAC
rnacentral:lncRNA from 1 species